rnacentral:rRNA from 1 species
CCUACGGGUGGCAGCAGUGAGGAAUAUUGGUCAAUGGGAGAGAUCCUGAACCAGCCAAGCCGCGUGAAGGAAGACGGCCCUAUGGGUUGUAAACCUCUUUUGUCGGGGAACAAAACGCGGCACGUGUCCCUUUCUGCAUGUACUCUAAGAAUAAGCAUCGGCUAACUCCGUGCCAGCAGCCGCGGUAAUACGGAGGAUCCGAGCGUUAUCCGGAUUUAUUGGGUUUAAAGGGUUCGUAGACGGUUGGUUAAGUCAGCGGUAAAAUUGCGGGGCUCAACCCCGUCGAGCCGUUGAAACUGGCAGACUUGAGUUGGCGAGAAGUACGCGGAAUGCGCGGUGUAGCGGUGAAAUGCAUAGAUAUCGCGAAGAACUCCGAUUGCGAAGGCAGCGUACCGGAGCCAGACUGACGCUGAGGCACGAAAGCGUGGGGAUCGAACAGGAUUAGAUAUCCCAGUAGUC